GUGAGGAAUAUUGCGCAAUGGCCGAAAGGCUGACGCAGCGACGCCGCGUGGAGGAUGAAGUCCGUUAGGAUGUAAACUCCUUUUGCAGGGGAUGAAUGUGGCGCCUUGAGCGCCAUUGACCGUACCUUGCGAAUAAGGAUCGGCCAACUACGUGCCAGCAGCCGCGGUAAUACGUAGGAUCCGAGCGUUGUCCGGAAUUACUGGGUGUAAAGGGCGUGUAGGUGGAUUUUCAAGUCGGUGGUGAAAUCCUGCAGCUCAACUGCAGAAUUGCCUCCGAUACUGGAGAUCUUGAGUGCGGCAGAGGGAGACGGAAUUCAUGGUGUAGCGGUGAAAUGUGUAGAUAUCAUGAAGAACACCGGUUGCGAAGGCGGUCUCCUGGUCCGUUACUGACACUGAGGCGCGAAAGCGUGGGGAGCAAACAGGAUUAGAAACCCUAGUAGUCC
rnacentral:rRNA from 1 species